CUGAGCAAGACCGCUGAAGAGUUUUUUGUUUUGUUUUUUUAAGAAAGGGAAGAGAAAGAGAGAGAAAAAAGAAUAACUAUUUUGAUUAUAAUUUUUCAAAGCUAAACUUACAGGGAAAAUUAUUAAGAAAAAAAAAUAGGCUGAAGGACAUAUAACCUCCUGAGAAUUCGAAGCUUUUCCCAUGAAGAAUAUAAUUGUUAAAAAAAAAAAUUCCCGUGAUCAUUGUUCAUGAACAAAUAAUGGUAAAAGAAAGUACAUCAAGCAAAACAAAAGCAAGUACGAUACGAUUGUAAAUCGGUGAUCUUUGGGUUUUUCCUGCAAACCCUAGAAACCAAUCUCAGCAAAAUCCACCAUUAUUCCUUCCAAUCUCUUUAGCUAAAACCUUAUUCCGCCGGCCCCAGGCACGAUGUAGUCAUCACGUUUUUACUGAGUGUCGAUCUGAUGUUGUCAUGGCGUAUUUCGAUUUGCUGCUGCUGCUUUCUGUUUUGAUUUAAUCAAUGGAUCUCCUCUUGACCCUAUGAUGGUUUCCUCUGAAGUCCAAAGAUUUUGUUUUUGCUGGAGUUCUUCUCAUCCUACCGAAGAUGGACUAUUCAAUUGAAUCUCAAAUUUUUCUUCCAUGGGUUUACGCAAGUUCUUCAACAGGAUGUCUCUCAACCUUGCCAUCUAUUGAUGCCGAUUUGCACUCCAAUUCCAAGGCAGGGGACUUGAGUUAUAUUUGGUUCAUGUGGCGUCCUUGGCACUCACACUUAAAUCCGUCAACCUUUUCAACCAACUGUGAGGAUUUUGAGAUCAUUUUACGCAUUCUUUUAUCUGAGCAAAUUCUUCUUUCAAGUCAAAGCCAACUCUUCAGACCUAGGAGGGAUUAUUGAAUACGGUGACCCAAUCUCUUUCCAUAAUGGUUACAGCAGCAUGCUUAUUAUGCUAAGAAUCAACCUGUCUCAACCUCUAGUUUUUGGUAUCUUAGCUCCAAUUAAAUAUCAUGGAGAUAACUGGAUUGCAUUCUGGCUUCUAGAAUUACCAAGAUUGCUUUGUAAUUACUGCAAUAGACUAGGGCAUACUCCUGAAGACUGCAUAGACUUCUUCCUCCUCAACCAUCCAAGAAUGCAGUCUCCAGAUCAAUACCAGAUAGUCCCCCAUGAGAUUAUGCCUAUUCCCGAAGAUAAUUUACAAAAGAAGACAGUUACAAUGUGGAAAUUAAUGGACCAGACUCAGAUUGUAGUGACUGGAGUCUAGAGAUGCACCCAUUCCAUGAUUCAUCUUCUCAAGAUCAAUCUGUAAUUUCUUGCUCGGAAGGGAAACAUACAUAUAGUGGAAUCAAUCCUGGAGGAUUCAAUUCAAAUAUGUCCACCGACUCGGAAUGAACUGAAUAGUCUUGAAUUGGUACCAGCAGCAACAACCAUCUGAGCAACUGCAGCAGCAAAGCCAUCUAAUAGUAACUUUCUGAGCAACUGCAACAACAACAACAGUAGCAUCAGCAGCAACUACCAGCCAUCCCAUCAAGCCAAGAUGGCACAUCAGCACAAGACGUGUAUACUCACUCAGCAUUAAGUAUGAUACUACAUCUAUGGGGCCGGUGGAACUCCACUCCUUUUGGUUUAUCAGCCUUUUUUUGCUUUCAUAGUUUGCCUUGUAUGUUACUAAGUCCAUGCAUCUAGGUUUACUUAUUGGUUUGCCUUUCUAUUAUUCUAUUCUACAGUGUCAACAUUUUGGAUUUAGGCCUUUUUUGAUAGUGUCUUUGUCAAAGUCAAUUAUAAGCCUUUUUUGUCUGAAGAUGUGUAAUCACAAAGUUAUUUUGAUCUAAUAGUGUUUAAGUAUUGUUUUUGACUGAUCUUA